GGGGGUGCUGCGCGGCGUCCCGUGCGGUUGCAGGCUGGGCGGGAGGCUUCAGCCCCGAGAGCGCUCUGUUUGGUGUAGAAUUCACCGGUAAUCGCAGCACAAAUCGUCAUAAAUUCUGUGCAUCAUCAGCAGGCGUUGGCUGCGACUCGGCGUCUUGUCGGGGAAGACUCGCCCCCCGGGGCGUUGGCUGUAAAACCUGCGCGUCCGCCCAGCCGGGGCCCCGGCCUAGCUGCGGGUCGCCCGCUACCCGGGGGUAGGCAAGGCCGGCGGGUCCCUGCGGCCUGCUGAUGGGACCGGGGUCCAGACCGGAGGAAACGGGACAAGGGCACGCUACCACGAGGUGUUUCCAGUUCAGCGUUUCUGCUUUGAUUAUAUAUGCGUAUUUUUAAUAUUUUAUUUAUUUAUUUAUUUAUUUAUUUAUUUAUUUAUUUAUUCACGAGAGACACAGAGAGAGAGAGGCAGAGACCCAGGCAGAGGGAGAAGCAGGCUCCACGCAGGGAGCCCGACGGGGGACUCGAUCCCGUGACCCCGGGGUCACGCCCUGGGCCCCAGGCAGAUGCUCCACCGCUGGGCCACCCCCGGCUGCCCGAAAAUCCUCAUUUUAAAGGUACUUCCUUAUUGCUAAAUCCAGUGGAGUUUUUCCCCCCACACACACCUCUUGUAUUUUUCCUUCCUGCAGUAUUUGACACACUAGACUAUUUCCUUGAAGUGUUUCCUCCGUGAUUUCUGCCACAACCAGGACUCUUUAUUUCCCCCACCCGUCAGGUAGCUCCUUCUCAUUCUCCUUUGCAAGCCUCUCUGCCUCUGCACCUGAAAACACUGGUGAACCUAGGAGUUUUUCUCCCUCUAGCAUCUCUCUGGGCGAUUUCCAUUCCACGGAUUUCCAACUGUCACCUAAAUGCUGAAGACUCAGAGGCCUAAUUUCAGCCUGGAUCUCCCUCCUAAAUUCUGUAUCCUUACCGGCUAGUUAUUUCUGUCACACAGAUCUGAGCUGCACAUGCUGAAGGCGGGAACUCCCUGGCUCUCUUCUGCCCUCUAACUAGCUUCUAGUCUUACUUGCCCUCACAAAGGGGCGCCUUUUCCUUUCCCUACUCCGCCAUCCAUCUGAUUGCUCAAGCCAGGAGCCUGGGACACAUCUUGACCUAAACACAAAUUAGAUCAAUGGAUCCCUAGGAUCUUUAGGAUUAAAAAACGUCCAAGUUACUUGGCAUAGCACAAAGAAUCGGCCCUGACUUGGUCUUUCAGUUUUAGCUCUUCUCACCUCCCGCCCAGUGUUCUAGCCCGUAGUAUCAGCAGCACAUGGUAGAAAAGCCAUUUGGUCACAAUCAGAUUGUACGAGAUAGCAAUCAAUUAAAUCCAACAAACAUGUGCUGAGCAAGCACCUAUUAUUUAGCGGGUUCCCGGACAUAAUAUGGUAUUGGAGGAAAUGGACGCCAGCUUUCCGUUUACUGAAGAACACAAGUUUAUUUUGAAGGACACAAGUUUAAAAAUAUAAUCGAAAAAAUGAAAACACCAAUUGGCCCUUGAAUGUGGUUAAAUAGUGUGGGUCCACUUAUAUGCACGUUUUUUUCAAUACAGUGUAGUACUGUAUUUUCUCUUAUAAUUUUUUUAAAUUCAAUUUGCCAACAUAUAGUAUAACACUCAGUGCUCACCCCAUCACAUGCCCUCCUUAGUGCCCGGCCCUGUCACCCCACCCGCCCACCCGCCCACGCCCACCCGCCCACCCGCCUCCCCUUCCGCAUCCGUUUCCCAGGGUCAGGAGUCUCUCAUGGUCUCUAGCUUUCUUUGUUGUAAGAAUAGAAUGUAGCGGCACCUGGAUGGCUCAGUAGGUUAAGUGCCUGACUCCUUUCAGCUCAGAUCUUUUAUCUCAGGGUUAGGAGUUCAAGCCCCACAUUGGGCUCCAUGGUGGGUGUGGGGCCUACUUUAAAAAUACAAUAUAUAUUUAUUACUUAAAAAUUAUGUGUUGAUCAACUAUAUUAUUGGCAAGUCUUCCAAUCAACAGUAGGCUUAUUAAUAGUUGCUUUGGGAAAGUCAGAUUAUACAUAGUUUCGACUGUGCAGCGGGGUUGGUGUUCCUAACCUGUUAUUGUUCAAGGGUCAACUGUAUUUAAUUAAAAAUUAUCACGGAUGCUAUAAAGGAAAAGCUUUGUAAGAUGGUUUGAGAAGCUACUGAUUUAUGAUUUAGAUUGGGGGUAAAGGAAUGCCUUUUAGAGGAAGUGACAUUUAAGUAGAGACUUGAAGACAAAGCAGGCAAAAGGGAUUCAGGUGGCAAGGCCCCAGGAUAGGAGUCUCCGUUCCCAAUCCACCCUUCUUUACUUGGUUUUGCCAAACAUCUCUUUUGCCUGUUGGCUCCCUGUUGGGCUUGGUCAGAGGGCACUGGGGAACAAUGGGAGGAGAUGGUGGUGGGAAGACACUUCCCUCACAGGUGGAUCAUUGCCAUUGACCAGUUCCAACCUGCUCGUGCUUUCUGGCCAACAGCGAAGGACCUCUCCAGCCCACGCCCUCCGGCAUGUUUCUUCACCAGGCUCCACGUUCUGUGGUAACCAAGUCCCCUUUGGAGAGGUCUCAAGGCUCUCCUAAACUCCCAGUUCCUUCACUGUAGCUGGUAGGUUUUUUCACCUGCGACUUCUGGAUCCCUUUAACAGUCCUUGUUUUAUCCCUUUUAGUAGUUAACCACCUCUUACUAUUUAGCAACUAUUUAUAUUAAAAUUUCCUUUUCAAAGUUUUAGUGUUGGUCUCUCUCUCCUGACAUGAAGUGUUUACUUAUUCAAGAAACUUCAAAAAAAAAAAAAAAAAGAAACUUCAAGAUAGGGCAGCCCAGAUGGCUCAGUGGUUUAGCACCGCCUUCAGCCCAGUAUGUGAUCCUGGAGACCCAGGAUCGAGUCCCGCGUGGGGUCCCUGCUUCUGUCUCUGCCUCUCUCUGUCUCUCAUGAAUAAAAUAAAGUUUAAAAAAAAAAAAAAACUUCAGGAGAGGAGUGGGGAGCAGAAAGGCUUAGGGGAGAGUGGAGAAUGACUUGCUGUGAAGUUGGAAAAUACAAAAUGCACAGAAAGCAAUGCAGACCAUACUAAUUUAUUAAAAAAGAUUUUAUUUUUAAUCUUCACACCCAACCUGGGGCUUGAGCUCACAACCUCAAAAUUAAAUCUCAUGCUCUGCCCACUGAGCCAGCCAGGCGCCCUCCUUAUUAAAGACUUUAGAUGACAUCUUAAAUGCAAUUUGAAGCAAAAACUUUCAAGUAGGGGUGUGUAUGUGUGUCACAAUCGAAUUUACUUGUUUAAAAGAUUCUUUUGGGCUUUUGAUUCUGUAUAAACAUGUUAGCCGCCUGGUUCUGGGUCUCUCUAUCCCUCCUAGAAACCACGGAGAGCAACAAGGAAAACAUAGGACCAUGAAUCCCCCCCCAAACACUACCUUAGGUGACACUAAGAGGGCAGAGAAAACUUAGAAGUUCCACACCGAGUGGUAAUGCAUGGGAGGCCACCAGAGUGCAGUGUACCAAGAGUGGGAUGAGUGGGAUACUGAUGGCAGGUCUCACUCUGCAAAUAUUCACCCUGCGUGGAGACUGCAGUGAGGACCGAACAACUGUGUGAGUGCUGGGAGCAGUGGAGAAGGGAGGGAGAUGUGUAAAGUGCCUGGGGUCCAGAGGUCUUUCAGAAAGCAAGUUAGGGGAUCUCCUUGAAACACAGGCAUUAGGUCUUAAUGUAGCAGAUGAAGGAAUCCAGGGAGCUGAGAGCCUGCACAUAACUUCUGAACAAGGUCAUAUCCCAAGGGAGGGAAUUCAUUGUAGCCAGAGGGAGGUGAGAAAACUGGACGGGGUUCCUCUCCUUCAUUCUCCAAACAGUUUCAAAUACAAAUAAGCAGAAAUGAAUAAACACAGCACUUGUGCAGAUGCUCUA
rnacentral:lncRNA from 1 species